rnacentral:rRNA from 1 species
GUCCACGCCGUAAACGAUGUCGACUAGCCGUUGGGAUCCUUGAGAUCUUAGUGGCGCAGCUAACGCAUUAAGUCGACCGCCUGGGGAGUACGGCCGCAAGGUUAAACUCAAAUGAAUUGACGGGGCCCGGCACAAGCGGUGGAGCAUGUGGUUUAAUUCGAAGCAACGCGAAGAACCUUACCAGGCCUUGACAUCCUAUGAACUUUCCAGAGAUGGAUUGGUGCCUUCGGGAGCAUAGAGACAGGUGCUGCAUGGCUGUCGU